rfam:Ixodes scapularis strain Wikel colony gcontig_1108378267172, whole genome shotgun sequence.
UCCUGGUUAGCUCAGUUGGUAGAGUUAUCCACUGGGAAUGGAGAGGUCCCUGUUUUGAUAUAAGGACCAGGCA